UAUUCAAAUGAAAUUGGAACUACGAUUGUAUGAAACGAGUGGAAACGAGUGACGGAGAGAGCCCUCUUAAGUUGUGCCCGGUAAAAAAGAGAAAAAUCCAAGGAAAAAUCUGUGAAUUUGAAAAUCCUCUGACAAAGAAUUGACCAACUUCUAAAAUGACAUACAAGGAUAAAUGUAAAUUAUUUUUUCAAUAAGUAUACUUAUACGUAAAAAUAUGCAUAAUUAUUUUGAAUAAAAGAAUUUGCAUCAGCAUUUUGGUAUUUCUGCUUUAUUUUAUGGUGAAGAGCACUCAUCAAGAAAUAUAGUUUUAUUACCUACUUACAGCGGGUUUAACCCUUUCAAUACGUAUAGGUAAUUAUAUAAUUACACAUAACAUUUAUUUAUGAAACACAUAUCUACGGUAAAUAGCAAUUAAAUUAAAUAUAGUGUAAGUUUAUUCUACCAACAUAUAUUUUUAAUGUGAAUACAUUUUAAAAUUAAUUUAAAAAUAUAUUUUGAUUCAUUUUAAUUUUUUAAUAUUAAUAUUUUUUUGCGUUUUAAGUCCGUCUGUAUGAUACACGUAACAUCAAAAUUAGUUCCUAUCUACUUUAAAUAUAAUAUGAUUAUUUAAAUGACAUGAUCCCAGAAUUUGUCAGAGUUUUAAUUAUAAGUGGAAUCAAUUUUCCUUAAAAGUCAAAACAUAACUAGUUCUUUCAAAUAGCUAGAUAGACAUUCAUACAUAUAUAUAAUAUAUAUUAAAAAAUUUGUUAAAAUGCAUCCUUCGUUUAUAUUCAUACUAAAAUUGUGCGAAGAAGUGUAGAAAGAUAUGUUUAUAUCAUUUGUUCAUACCUUCAUAUAUAAAUAAAAUUAUUCUUAGGUAGGUAUUCGUAGAAUUCCACUUUCCGAUGUGUAAAUAUUUUAUAAAUUACUAAACUAUUUUAUAAUAAAUGUAUUGAACCUAAUGUUCAGUAUCGUUAUGCUGUUUUUCAUAAUCUGUACAUAGCAUCAUUUCCCUUGUGCUUUAAUUUAAUAUUUUGUAAAGAUAUAGGUACAAUUUGGAUAAAAUUUUUAAAGCGUACAUUACGAGUAUGUUAAGAUAAAAAUAUACAUCAAAAUAACACCUCAGAAUUCUACAUAGUUUGAUUUUUAUAUAAUAUAACAAUAUUCUUAUAAUAUUUCUUUUAAUAUUAAUAUAUAAUACUUUUAAUUACAGAGAUCCAUUGCAGCAAUUGACGUUCAUAAUUCAAAGUGAAUAUAAUUGUUUCGCUACAAACAGUAUAAUAAACUAUGUAUUCCUGUAAUUUCCAAUUUAAACAUGGCACAUAGAAUUUUUCUAAUUAAAUUUUGUCACCAAAUUCUUAAAAGUCAUAUGAUCGAUAGAAUUAUACGUAUAUAUCUCUAUAGGCCGCACAAAGUUAUCUAACUAUAACCUCACUGUAUAUAAAGGUUACAUGUUUUAGCACGCAGCCCAAGGUGCUGUGCUUAAUAUACGAGUACGUAGACAGACAAAAUACUGGAGGCGUUUACGUCAUUAACAGUCAGUCAAAACGUCUCGUAAUAUCUUACUGCUUUAUAUACAAGUAAAAAUUUAUACUCUAGCUAGUGUUGUCAGUGUUGGUGUUAAGCGGUUAUUCGAAUGAAUAUAGCGGUGAUUUGAUUAGUUGAUAUUUUUUAAAAUAGUUCAUUGAUAAUUUAGCCGAACACUUGUUUGACUAAUGCGUUAUUCAGUUCAAGGUGUGUUUUUAUACACUGGAUGUGAUAACUGUCGAAAAAAAAUUUAAACAUGUUAUUUUUAAUUCCUUGCAGUCACAGCAUGAUGCCAAGAAAAUAAUUUCUCGGGGGACUUGAGUCGUUAGUGUUUAAACGGAGUGCAUGGGAGCGCGGAUGCACUGUUCAGUGGCCUAGCGUCUGUUAGUGACAAUUUCCAGCUUUAACAUAACAUGUAAUAAUAAAAUCAAGUCUUUACCCUUGUUUAUUUUUC